UACGUAGGGGGCAAGCGUUGUCCGGAAUCAUUGGGCGUAAAGCGUGCGUAGACGGUUAUUUAAGUCGGGUGUGAAAGCCCCGGGCUCAACCUGGGAAUUGCAUUCGAGACUGAAUAGCUAGGGUGCGGUAGAGGGAAGCGGAAUUUCCGGUGUAGCGGUGAAAUGCGUAGAUAUCGGAAGGAACAUCAGUGGCGAAAGCGGCUUCCUGGACCAGCACCGACGUUCAGGCACGAAAGCGUGGGGAGCAAACAGG
rnacentral:rRNA from 1 species